AUGGCACUCGCCAUGGCCGCCGAGCUCCCGUUCUACCUGCUCCUCCUUCCCCUCGUAGCCAUAGUCCCGCUCCUCUACUUGGCGGUGUCCCGCGGGAGGCCCGGCUCCGGCCGGCGGCUGCCCCCGUCGCCCUGGGCGCUGCCGGUGAUCGGCCACCUGCACCACCUCGCCGGCGCGCUCCCGCACCGCGCCAUGCGGGACCUCGCGCGCCGCCACGGCCCGCUCAUGCUGCUCCGCUUCGGCGAGGCCCAUGCAGCGCCGCAUCAUGGAGGGCGCCGAGGGCCUCCUCUUCUCGCCCUACGGCGACGCGUGGCGCCAGAGCUCCUCAGCACCCACCGUGUCCACUCCUUCCGCCCCAUCCGCGAGGACGAGAUCGGCCACCUCCUCCGCUCCGUCGCGUCAGAGGCGUCGCCGGCGAGGCCGGUGAACCUGUCCGAGCGGAUAGCGGCGUUCGUCGCGGACUCCUCUGUGCGUGCCAUCAUCGGCAGCCGGACGCCGAACCGCGACACGUUCCUGAGGCUGCUGGAGGAGGGGCUCAAGGUCAUCCCUGGGAUGAGCCUGCCGGACAUUUUCCCGUCGUCGCGUCUCGCGAUGCGCCUCAGCCGCGUGCCCGGACAGAUCGAGCGUCGCCGUGGCGCCAUGCUCGGUUUCAUCAACACUAUCAUCGAGGAGCGCAAGAACAGAGACGCCGCCGCUACCAGCAUCGAGGAACACGACGAGGACUUACUUGACGUGCUCCUGAGGCUCCAGAAGGACAUGGACUCCCAGUAUCCCCUCACCACUUUGAACAUCAAAACCGUUAUCAUUGUGAGCUCUCUUUACAAUCAACAAGAGCUGAUGGCGGACCAAAACCUCCAUAAUGUUAGCAAAUUCUUUAGGACUAGCAUUAAACAUCGACUCAAUCUCGACAUGUUUGCUGCUGGCAGCGAGACCUCGUCCACGAUGAUCCAGUGGGCGAUGGCCGAGCUGAUGCGUAACCCGACGGUGAUGCAGAAGGCGCAAGAAGAGGUCCGGAGAGAGCUCGCCGGCCACGACAAGGUGACGGAGGAUGGCCUGACGAACCUGCACUACCUGCAGCUCGUCAUCAAGGAGACGCUCCGGCUGCACCCCGCGGCGCCGCUGCUCCUGCCGCAUGAGUGCCGCAGCCCGUGCGAAGUGCUCGGGUUCGACGUGCCCCAGGGCGCGAUGGUGCUCGUGAACGCGUGGGCAAUCGGCAGGGAUCCGGCGCACUGGGAUGCGCCGGAGGAGUUCAUACCGGAGAGGUUCCAGGAACAAGGUGGCAUGGGCGGCAGAGACUUCAAGGGAACGGACUUCGAGUUCGUGCCGUUCGGCGCUGGCAGGAGGAUGUGCCCCGGCAUGUCGUUCGGUCUGGCCCACGUCGAGCUCGCGCUGGCGGGGCUGCUGUUCCACUUCGACUGGCAGCUGCCGGAGGGGAUGGCCCCCGAGGAGAUGGACAUGACCGAGGCGGCCGGGAUCACCACGCGCCGGCGGUCUGACUUGUUGGUGAUUUGCAUCCCACGUGUCCCAGUGUCGAUGGAGUAUGUACGGUAUGGAUAA
rnacentral:rRNA from 1 species